UGAGGAUGGGGUGAUGCCCAACUUUUUGUGCCUGGAGUGGAUACCAGGACACUGCAGCCAAGGGCUAGGGGAGGACAGGAAGAGUUCAGCCUGUCCCAGACCUCACAGGAGCUCUGCAAAUUUCUGACCCUCUCUGGCAAAAUGCCCCAGGUAUAACCCUUAAUAACUUAAAGGUAUAUAAGAAAGGGAGCUGGUUUUCUUUUCCAUUUUCUUGCAGCUUGUUUGGGGAUUUUUAAAGGAAGGACAAGGCAUAUACCUAAAGGGGAAAGAAUGUCACAGCAUCAUUAUUUUAUUCCCACACCCCAACCACUUCAGAAGAGGUCAAGGGGAAAUUAGCACUGAACAAACUGCACAGGAUGAAUGGUUAAAGAUGACUUUCCAGUGAUGAAAAAAACCAACAGUGUCACCCUGGGCUCAGGUUUGUCCCCACAGAUGCUGUGUGCAGGUCUCUGGUGUGGACAAACUGGAGGGUGAGCUGCACCCCCAUCCUGAUGAGGAGCAGGAAAGAGCCAAGGCCUUUCCUGCUCCUCACCCACCCCACCAGCAAGAGGCUCCCAAGGAGCUGGGGGGGGGGCACAGCCAGGACAGCUGCCCCAGGGACAUCCCAUAAUAUGGCACCAGCUCAGCAUGGAAACCUGGGCAGGAGGAGGAAGGGGGGACGUUUGCAGUGAUGGUGUUUGCCUUCCCCAGUCACUGUCACAGGUGAUGGAGCCCUGCUGUGCUGGGCAUGGCUGAGCCCCUGCCUGCCAUGGGGAGUGGGCAAUGAGUCCCUUGGUUUGCCUCACCUGUUAAACUGCCUUUAUCCCAACCCAGGAGUUUUCUCACUUUUACCCUUUCAGUUCUCUUCCCCAUCGUGGGGGGAGUGAGCAAAUGGCUGUGUGGGGCUGAGCUGCCAGCUGGGGUUGCACCACCACAGCUGCUUCCAUGUUUUCCUGCCUGCUGUCCACCCAGAAAGAUCACAAUGUACAUUCACAUUAGCCAUAUGAUUUCUACUUACACAUUAACUAAUGGCUAUGAAUUUGUCUAUUACCAAAGAUGCCUGCUCUCAACCAAACAACAAAUUGUGGCAUGAAAGCAUUUUGCUCAUAACUCAGUGCAGGAACAACUGAUGACAAAGUCAGUGAUGCAGGAGCCCAAAGAAACUGAAGCAGGAGAUGAAAUGCUUAUCGCCUGAUUCCCGGUGGAAAAAGAUUGCUCUCAUCAGAUAAAGAUCAAGAGGAGGUGCUGUAGUUAAAAGUAGGUAAAUAGGGAAUUACACAGUAAAAAUGCUGGUUCAUCACCUGGGGUGUGAUGCUCCUGUCAUACUGUGCUAUUUAAAAUCAGCAGAGCAGCAGUGGGAGGAAGACUCGGGUAAUGCUGACAGAUGGAGCAGGGCUCUGGGAGAGCACGGGGGGCUCCUGUGGCUCCUGUGGCUGAGAGCAUCUGUCUGCGGUGUCACCGCAGGGCUCCCGCCUGGUCACCGCUGUCCCCGCCUCCCCACAGCCCCUCCCGUGCAAACGGGAAUGUUCGGGUCGGGUGGGAGGGCUGAGAGCCCAGCCCGUGCUGCUGCCGCCUGCACCCUCCUGGCCCACCCACACCCGCCGGGCUCCGGGAGCAUCCCUGGGCCGGGUGGGGCUGCCAUGGAAGGAACAGCACGGACAGACAGCAGGGCGGGGCUGCACCCUCCAAGGAGGAAGCACGAACAGAGACCUGCAGGAGAUCAUUCUGAGCAGCUGGUGCAGGAGCUGGCGGUGGUUUUUAACCGCCCAGCGGCAGCUGUGAGACCACCCCCCCUCCUGGCUCACCCACAGCGAGGGAAGCUGUGCCACAGCCCCAGCCUUUCCCAACAGCUUCUCUUCAAUAAGGUUCUGUAGUGGAAACUCAGCAAAGCUCCAAGAGGAAGGCUGUGUUCCAGAUGGCAGGAGGGGACCUGGGGAGGUUUUUACUCUAAAUGAGUCUGCAUUAGCCUGGCAUUAUUUUCACUCAGAUUUUACUGUCUGCAAAGAUGACCCAAGUCCUGCAGUGGCAGGAACACCUGAUUGGAGGUGUCUGGUCACCACAGAGAUGUCCCACCAAGCUGCUCAAGCUCAGCCCACAGCAAGUUCAUACAGAGAUCAGGCAUUCCCCAAGCUCCUACCCCUACAAGAACACUUUUGCCUGCAGACAAAGCUUUAGGGACACAGACUAAUGUGCUGCUCAAAAUCUCAUCAGCUAUCUAACAUCUGUUCUGCAGCACAAGCACCUCUUUUGCCAUCCACAGCUGGGGCUGGAAACCUCUUCUGCUUGUUCAGCUUUUGCCUUCUACUCUCCCAGAGCCAGGGCUACAGUUACCCCUGAACACCCAACCUGCAGCAUGAUCUUCUGAAGCAGGAUUUCAGUAAGAUUAUUCCAACUUUGGCAAGUUCUUUUCACUCAGAUUUCUCUGUGCAUAGGCAAAAAGAGCAUUUCAAAGGGCAAGCAAAAUUCUGUGCAGCUCUCUUUCCCCAGCACCUUGUUUGCUGGAGACAAUCCUGUACCAGCCUGCAGAGCCUUGCAACAGCAGAAUGCUGCUGUUCUCAGUGUCCCUCCUCCCUGUCUGAGCCACCAGCUCCAAAAUCUUGCAAUGCCUCUGGUUUCACUUGCUUUGGUUUUUCACACAUGUAUGUGGUGAUUGCACCAGACCCUACAGCAACCUGGCCAUCUCCUUCCCUGGAGAUGCUGCUCAUGUGCCUGGGAAACAGAGCUCACACUCAGCAUCAGCUUUCUGCCUGUGGCCCCAGCUCUCCUCCCACAAUAAGUUUCUGGUUUUCCUAGACAAGACUGAAAAGCAAAGGAAAAGGAUUUUGGAGUGACUGCAAGGCAGUUUCAUAAAUAUGUAUUAGCAUUAACUUCACCCCAUCACAGCAGCAGGCUGAGCUCUCAGAAGAUCAAACCCAAAGCUGACCCUGAGCAGCUCCACUGAAGCCCCUGUGACUGCAAGGCAGCACUCACCUCUCUGUGCCAUGGCUUGUAUCAGGACUCUGCUUCCUUCUCAAAAACAUUGUUCCCACAGCAGUCACGUUCCUGUGCUCACAUCCUAAAUCACAGCUAGUGAUUCCAGCAUCUGGAUCCCUAACUUUGAAGUUUCCCUUUCAAAGUCCUUUCAUGUUCUACAUUUUGAUGUGCCACGUUCAUCUUCUCCUGCUUUCCUCUAUCUGAGCACUUCCCCUGAUUGUGAAUUGUAUCAACCAGCUUACAAAGGAAUUAUUGCAAAGCUUUUCUCCUUGCCAUCAGUGUUAUGUAGUUUAUUAAGCAUAUGUUUUGUUACUAGAGUGGCUUCAGAAGCAAUGUCUAAUAAAACCCCAGUUUUUCCUUUAGUUAAUUGUAAAGUUAAUGCCUUAAACCUCCAGGAGAUAUUCCUCCAAGAAGAAAACAAAUUUGGGUUUAAACCGAGUAGUUUUAAAGGUUUAUUCUAGUCAGCUCAGGAGAUCAAUAGACACUUCUGUUUUAUGUGCUUUAAGGGCUGAAACACUUGCAACAGAUGUAAGAAAAAAAUCACAUUUUUGUAGAGGGGGAAAAAAACCCUCAAGAGUUAAACAGCAAUUUCCAAGCGUGUUUAUCACUAGGCUGGUAGAAGAAAAAAAACUAAAUACAAGUAGAACCAUGGAAAUUAAUUAUUUCCACAGUUAUGUACAUAAAUAUCUGAGCAUGGCACAUUUAAUUAAUGCAUAUGUGUUCAAAGAUGAGAGAUAAUUUGUAAGAAAACCAAUUUGGCUUCUCCUCCUUUGUCAUACACACUGAAGACAGUAUCUAAGUAAAAAUUAUUCUUUAAAUGUAUUACUUUGACUUGCCACUGAUACCUGGUAAUUAUAACUUUAAUAACACAAUAAUGUAUUAUAAGAAAGAUUUUUAGGAGCUUUAUACAAUGCUGCUAUCUCCUUUAGUUUCUACAACAAUGCCAAACCCAGCUUUUCUGUUGUACUCCAAAUAAUUCCUCCUUGCAUCCCUUCUGGAACAUCCAUGGUGAGUGAUCCUAGCAAGUGGUGGGGCACAGAGACACGGGGUCACCUGGCACUGGCAGCCCUGUUCUGCCAGCUGCAUCCACAGCUGCCCAGUGCUAAACAGAGCCCAGACAGCUGAAAACACCUGGAAAAGAGAUGGCUCCCUCCUGCUUUGCCCAUGCCCUCUGUUGGUGUGGAGGGGUGCAGGGGAGCAGCCGCAGGGACAGUGGCCAUCUGUGCACCAGUUACACCGAGCUAAGUGCACCGUCUGAUAUCGCCCUCAGAUUUCAGCAAUUACUGUGAUUGCUGCUGGGCACUGUAGCCACUCUCAGAAGAGGUGAUUUGUGAGAUGCUGCCGAGUGACAACACAGCUUGACAUGCUGAGGUGGCAACUUUGGAGGACACACCCAAUUGCUCUUAUGCUUGCAGAGAGGUUUUCUUCAACCUUUUCUUAGAAAAGAUAAAGCACAAAACCUGCCCGUGCCCCUUCUGCCUGGCCUGCGAGAGGAAACCUUGUGCUCCCUCCAACAAGCCCUCAGAUGUCGAAGUUGCCACCUUUCAAAGAAAACACAUCAAUGCAUUUCUGUACUGGCUUAUGAGACUGAGGACAGGAGAGGGGAAAACAACAAUUCUGGUAAGUUUCUUGCUCGUCUCUUACUGUUUUCCAGAAGCAUGUGGUUAACCCUGAAUGACUCAUAAACACGAAACAUUCUGGAAAAGUCAUGGAUCUGUGAAUUUCAAGCACCAUGCAAGGUGCUGGCAUGGGGAAUGCCUGCUCUGGCUACAGCCAAUAGGCUUUGCAGGGUGUUUGGUUUUCUCCACUACCUCAAAAUACUUUAAUGCUCCUGUCUCCAACACCCUGGGAAUAGGGCAGAGUUUAGCAGCACUGGCAAAGGGGUUGGUGCCCUACAAGCAGCGCCUGUUUCCAGCACUGCAGCCACAGGCAGAGGCUGUGGGCAGAGGCAGCUUGGAGGCACAGACAGAUGUGGCACAGCUGUGUCUGACAGCCCAGACAGGGCACUGAAGCACACAUCCAUCAAUGAACGGAAAUGCACUAGAACGUGAUCAAAGAGAAACCCAAACCCAUUCAUUUCCAAUUAAAAAGUCAAGUUUGCUCCUGCUUUACUGGACAGUCACAGACAACACACACAUCAGUCUUGUGUCAGUAGUGGAGGUGGACCAUGGCUGCAAGAAUCACACUAAGUACUGAUUUUGUUGUUUGUUAUUCUUAGUUCUUGGUAAUUAGUAAAUCUCUCCGCUUCCAAGAGACUGGGCUGCCCACAGCCUGCCUUCAGCACUACUGGAGCAGCUGUUUCAGAACAAGAAGCCAAAAAAACCCCAACAACCCGCUGGGGAACAGAGGCAAUGCAGAUGGCAAUGCAGUGAUUUCUGUCGCUGCUGUUCUGAAGAAAUGGCAGAGAAUGCCCUGCCUGGGAAACCACUGCCUUGGCACCACCCGUUACCUUGCCGUGGGUACAGGAGGAUGGCAGGGAGGCUGUGCUCAGGUGGGGAAGGGCUCCCAGGGCUCUCUCGGGGUGUUGCAAGGCUGUUCCAACACAUCUGGGAGAGGGAGGGAGGAGCAGGCACCCACGCACGGGCUGGGAGAGCCGCUGCCGGGAUACCCGGGGGAGGGAGCAGAGGCCCGGGGAAAGGCUGUACCACAGCUCGGUGUGCCCCGUGCGGCAAGGCCCUGCACGGGACGGGAGCCAGGAGCUGGGAACUCCCCCUGGCACAGUGAUUGCCACGGAGAGGCAAUUUACAACAGUUCAGAGAGGAGACAAACUUAAUGUUGUUCAAUUACCUGUGAAGCCUCACGCUGGCAGGAAUGAUUUAUGAAUGUUUCAGUAAAAUUCAUUCUGAUACAAACACAGCCAAGGAUAUUUAAGAGCUGGACUCUGCAGCCCAAGGGCUCCAAAACAGCAUUUUUAUUUACCCACAUUGCGAAAAACACAAAAUGCAAAUAGCUUUAGUACUGACUAACCAGAUUUUUUUUUAACCCAAAAUCAAGAUUUUAUGCACCAUCUCAGCUCAGCCUGUCAAACUGAAAUCCAUCAAUUAAAAAUGCAGCUGCUAACCUGGUCAGCAUAACCAACUCUGUACCACACUGUUACCAGCACAAACAGGUGCACAAACAGUUGCUGCUUAGCUGGGAAUGAUUUCUGGGUUAGACUGUUCUGAUCUGCAGAAAUAACAGUGAGACCAAAAAAAAGAGUGAGAAUACAACCAGCAGCCCGACAAAUUUGGGUCACAAAGAGAAUCCUCUAAUCCAGCAGCUCAGCGAGCAGACAGACAAACCCAAACUCCU